GGGGAAUAUUGCACAAUGGGGGAAACCCUGAUGCAGCGACGCCGCGUGAGUGAAGAAGUAUUUCGGUAUGUAAAGCUCUAUCAGCAGGGAAGAAAAUGACGGUACCUGACUAAGAAGCCCCGGCUAACUACGUGCCAGCAGCCGCGGUAAUACGUAGGGGGCAAGCGUUAUCCGGAUUUACUGGGUGUAAAGGGAGCGUAGGUGGCAUAUCAAGUCAGAUGUGAAAGCCCGGGGCUCAACCCCGGGAUUGCAUUUGAAACUGGUUUGCUAGAGUGCAGGAGAGGUAAGUGGAAUUCCUAGUGUAGCGGUGAAAUGCGUAGAUAUUAGGAGGAACACCAGCGGCGAAGGCGGCUUACUGGACUGUAACUGACACUGAGGCUCGAAAGCGUGGGGAGCAAAC
rnacentral:rRNA from 1 species